AAGACCUUGCACUUUUGGAGCGGCCGAUGUCUGAUUAGCUAGUUGGUGGGGUAAUGGCCUACCAAAGCUUCGAUCAGUAGCUGGUCUGAGAGGACGGCCAGCCACACUGGGACUGAGACACGGCCCAGACUCCUACGGGAGGCAGCAGUGGGGAAUUUUGGACAAUGGGCGCAAGCCUGAUCCAGCCAUGCCGCGUGAGUGAAGAAGGCCUUCGGGUUGUAAAGCUCUUUCAGUCGGGAAGAAAAGGUUGCGACUAAUAAUCGCAAUUCAUGACGGUACCGGAAGAAGAAGCACCGGCUAACUACGUGCCAGCAGCCGCGGUAAUACGUAGGGUGCGAGCGUUAAUCGGAAUUACUGGGCGUAAAGGGUGCGCAGGCGGUUUUGUAAGUCAGAUGUGAAAUCCCCGGGCUUAGCCUGGGAACU
rnacentral:rRNA from 1 species